UACGUAGGUGGCAAGCGUUGUCCGGAAUUACUGGGUGUAAAGGGGGCGCAGGCGGGAAGCCAAGUCAGCUGUGAAAACUACGGGCUUAACUUGUAGACUGCAGUUGAAACUGGUUUUCUUGAGUGAAGUAGAGGUUGGCGGAAUUCCGAGUGUAGCGGUGAAAUGCGUAGAUAUUCGGAGGAACACCGGUGGCGAAGGCGGCCAACUGGGCUUUAACUGACGCUGAGGCUCGAAAGUGUGGGGAGCAAACAGG
rnacentral:rRNA from 1 species